CUGUCUGUCUGUCUGUCUGUCUGCUCUCAACCAAACAGUCAUUCAAGACCUUUUAAAGUUUAGUGCAAACGUUUCCAGCGCAAGUUUGAAUCUCUCUCAGUCAGGGGGGAGAUUGACUGACAGACUGUCUACUCGCCACCAAACAGUAAUCUACACAGAAACCUUUUAAAGUUUAGCACAAACGUUUCCCGCGCAAGUUUGGAUCUUUACCAUUGAGGGUGGCUGACUGUUCUCGACCAACCAUCAUUCACACGCAAAAACUUUAAAGAUAAGUAUGAACGUGCCCAGAGCAGUUUUCGAUCUUUACCAUUAAGGAGGCUGACUGACUAUCCUCUACCACCCGUCAUUAACACAAGAAAAACUAAAGAAAUGUUACUCCAUAUGGACCUAUUCAUUUACUCAUUAUGCUGUGAGUACACCACAGUUUUAUCAGGGAAAAAAUUUAUAUUUGUGUGUUUCUCACUGCUUGACAAGGACAGAUGUGGCCCUGUUAAAAAUGUUUAAAUGUCGUUUGGUUUAAAGAACAGCACACUGAUUUUGUUUUAAAAUAUUCCUGUUUGGACAGUCUGUUAAA